AUAUAAGCACCAUGUGCUAUAAAGUAGCAAGGGAAGGGGCUCCUGGCUGGAGGGACUCUGCCUGAUUCUUUGUACCAGGGGCUCUCUUUGUGCACAUGUUGAAUAAAGCUUUAUUGAAUUGAAUCGCAUUGGAUCAAAGUCCCAUGAUUUCUACUCAGCAUCAGACUCACUGGGAACCACCAAAUCCCAACAAGACAUAGCACACAACAGCCUUUUAACUUACCUGAAGACUUACACUUCAGGAGCAGUGAGAUGGCUUUGUAAUAAAACAGAAUAGGAGGAAACCCUAGAAAUGGAAAAACAUCCUGGAUCAUGUGAUUUUUGCUGCAUUCUGCAAUAUUCUACACAUUCUAAAUUUUCACUUUGAAAAAUCAAGCUUGUCUUUUUUCUGUUGUGAAGCUGCAACUGUCAUGAUGUGAAAAGAUGUGUUGCUACCUUGUUAAUGAACCAACCUUGUGCAAAAACAACAACAACAAAAGAAACCUGUAGCUGGGCAAACAACAUUGGCAACAAAUCUGAGAACUCCCAAGUCCCACCCAUUAACCAAUUGGCAAGCACUUUAAGGUGACAGCUGACGAUGGACAUCUCAUGUGGAAGAAAAAAAUGGUGUCUAAAAUUAAUGAACAUUGUGGUUGG